rnacentral:sRNA from 1 species
GCCAGCUGCUGGAGCCGCGACCAUGGAGGAGUCUGGCAUGUCUCAUGAAUCAGCAGAGGACUUGUUUCAUUUCAACGUAGGGGGCUGGCAUUUCUCAGUUCCCAGAAGCAAACUCUCUCAGUUUCCAGACUCCCUGCUGUGGAAAGAGGCUUCAGCCUUGACCUCUUCAGAAAGCCAGAGGCUAUUUAUCGACAGAGAUGGUUCCACAUUUAGGCACGUGCACUAUUACCUCUACACCUCCAAACUCUCCUUCUCCAGUUGUGCAGAACUGAACUUGCUGUAUGAGCAAGCAUUGGGUUUGCAGCUGAUGCCUUUGCUGCAGACUCUAGAUAACCUGAAGGAAGGGAAACACCAUCUACGCGUGCGGCCUGCAGACAUACCUGUUGCUGAGAGAGCAUCUCUGAACUACUGGCGUACGUGGAAGUGUAUUAGCAAACCCUCAGAGUUUCCAAUCAAAAGCCCCGCCUUCACAGGCCUACAUGAUAAGGCACCUCUGGGGCUCAUGGACACACCCCUGUUAGACACAGAAGAGGAGGUGCACUACUGCUUCCUGCCCCUAGACCUGGUGGCCAAAUAUCCCAGCCUAGUGACUGAAGACAACCUGCUGUGGCUGGCUGAGACGGUGGCCCUCAUCGAGUGCGAGUGCAGCGAGUUCCGCUUCAUUGGUGAUUGCUCUGUCCAGGGGUUGGGUGGGGGGUGGGCUGUUAGGACCCAUUCACCCCUCCCCAUCACAUGUCCCACAGAGGCCCAGCUUGGUGCUCAGGGCCUCAGGAGCUUCCCUGGGUAGAGGUGGCGGAAGUAUGACAGAGCCUUCCAGGAAGCAAGCAGAUUCCAGCAUUAGAAUCUCGCUAGACUCACGGCUAUUUUAUUCACUAUUUGUUUUGGGGUGGCCUGGCUGUAAAAGUGUCAGGCACUGGAAAGUGUCAGGGACCACAGGAGUUGGUGUGACGGGCAGGGAGCUCAGCUGGUUGCCAGUCGGCUUCUCUUCUUACUCUGCCCUUAUGUAUCCAACUGGCCUUCAGGCCUCAGUUCCUCUCACCAUAAAAUGAGGAAUCCAGAUUGUUUCAAAGAAUGGUGCUAGCUGCUCUUAAUGUCAGCAAACUCAGAAUAAAAGGGAAGGAGGGUGGAUGGUGACAGGUUCCCCCAGAGUCAUAGCAGAAUUGUCCACUUGAAGUAGUGACCUAAGGAAGGAUGAGAUUUUCCACCUUUGACAGAGAGAGCCUCUCUCCCCCUACUGCCCUAGGAUGAGCUCUGUUUGGGAUGUGAACUGAAUGAUCUCUUUGACCCCAAGAUGCUACUGCUGUCUAGAUAGAUAGGGCAGCAAACACUCAAGUUACACUAGGAGCCCAAAUGUCUGGAACCCCAGUCAUUCAUAUUCAUAGUCACCUAGAAAGUUGUCUGUGAUGUGCUUCUGUAUCUUUAAGUUGAUUCACACAGGACAUUAGCGUUGGCUCCAUCUCUGCCUCCCAUACUGCAGUCCAGGCAGGGACAAACUGCAAGUGCCACCCACCAGCCCAGGCUCGGCCGGGCCCCUCCUCUCUAAGCAGCAAGACAACUCCCUCUUUUGGAAUGACCUGCUCUUGGGUCAAGACUCACAGGGUAAGUCUCAGGGCCAGUGUGCCCACCAGGAGGGCCUGGCUUGGGAGCCCCAGGCCAUGCCACGGGAGGCCACACCCACGGCCUCAGACACAGGAAAACAAAGUAAUGUGGGGUCUUUCACCUUGAAAACCACACACUCAAAGCUAAUCUAAUAAGGUAUGUUGAUAAGUUGUUUCAGAACAAGGAGAACCUAGGAUAAGUUACAGCACCAGAAACCUGCCAAAACCAGGACCUACAGUUAAACCAGAAAUAGCCUCAUUAACUCACUGUGUUCCCCUUUGUUUUCCAAGUGAAUUUUCUUCGCUCACAGAAGAUUUUACUACCGGAUAAUUUCUCCAACAUUGAUGUAUUAGAAGCAGAAGUGGAAAUUCUGGAAAUCCCUGCACUCACUGAAGCUGUAAGGUGGUACCGGAUGAACAUGGGUGGCUGUUCCCGGACCACCUGUUCUCCCCUGAGCCCCGGGAAGGGGGCCCGCACAGCCAGCCUGGAGUCCAUGAAACCGCUCUACACAAUGGCCCUGGGUCUGCUGGUCAAGUACCCGGACUCUGCGCUGGGCCAGCUUCGCAUCGAGAGCACGCUAGACGGAAGCCGACUGUACAUCACAGGGAACGGCGUCCUCUUUCAGCACGUCAAGAACUGGCUGGGGACUUGCCGGCUGCCCCUGACAGAGACCAUUUCCGAGGUAUAUGAGCUCUGUGCCUUCCUAGACAAAAGGGACAUCACCUACGAGCCAAUGAAAGUGGCUUUGAAGACUCAUCUGGAGCCAAGGACUUUGGCACCCAUGGAUGUGCUCAAUGAGUGGACAGCAGAGAUCACCGUGUAUUCCCCACAACAGAUCAUCAAAGUGUAUGUUGGAAGCCACUGGUAUGCAACCACCCUGCAGACACUGCUGAAGGUACUGACGGCCUUGGCCGCCCUGCUCCCCAUCUGGCAUCACCACCUGAGCUGCUCUGGGGGCCAUCACCUGGCCCUCACACAGCUUCCAGCACUUGCUUAGAAACAAAGACUUUCCCGCCAGGCGCGGUGGCUCAUGCCUGUAAUCCCAGCACUUUGGGAGGCUGAGGUGGGCAGAUCACGAGGUCAGGAGUUCAAGACCAGCCUGACCAAUAUGGUGAAACCCCGUCUGUACUAAAAAUACAAAAAUUAGCCAGGUGUGAUGGCACAUGCCUGUAAUCCCAGCUACUUGGGAGGCUGAGGCACCAGAAUCACUUGAACCCAGGAGACAGAAGUUGCAGUGAGCCGAGAUCACGCCACUGCACUCCAACCUGGGUGACGGAGUGUGACUCUGCCUCAAAAAACAAAACAAAACAGAGCGCAAGUGGACCGAGUGGCCUGCUGGGAAGGCCCUCCGGAGUUUGGGUAGGGAGGGGGCCAGCUCUGAGGGGCCUGGACUGAGAAGGAGGUACGGUGGGCUUCCAAAUGCCUUGAGAGGGUGGUCUAGGGGCCAUCAAAAGUUGAAGCAGGGAUGAUGUGCUUCUCCCUGGAAGCUCUGCUCCCCACCAUGGUUCCCUGUGACUGACAAGACAAGGAGAUGGAAUCUCAAAGCCUCUGCUCUAGUGUAGUUGGAAAAGGGGAGUGAGAGAAGAUUGACCUGCCCCUUCCCAAAGACUUAGCCUCUGAGACUGAGUCUGGUGUCCAACCCCCUCCAGUAUCCAGAACUGCUGUCCAACCCUCAGAGAGUGUACUGGAUCAGAUAUGGACAAACCCUGCUCAUCCACGGGGAUGGCCAGAUGUUCCGACACAUUCUCAACUUCCUGAGACUUGGCAAACUGUUUUUACCAUCUGAAUUUAAGGAAUGGCCCCUCUUCUGCCAGGAGGUGGAGGAAUACCACAUUCCAUCCCUCUCAGAAGCCCUUGCACAAUGUGAAGGAUACAAGUCAUGGACUCAGGAGAAAGAAUCUGAAAAUGAAGAAGCUUUUCCCAUCAGGAGGCUGCACGUGGUGACAGAAGGGCCAGGGUCACUGGUGGAGUUCAGUAGAGACACUAAAGAAACCACAGCCUACAUGCCUGUGGGCUUCGAAGACUGCAGUGAUAGGACUCCAUGGAACAAGGCUAAGGGAAACCUGGCCAGGUCCAACCAGAUGGAGGAGGCUGAGCAGUACACUCGGCCCAUCCAGGUGUCCCUAUGCCGAAAUGCCAAGAGAGCUGGCAACCCUAGCACAUACUCACACUGCCCUGGCUUGUGUACCAAUCCUGGACACUGGGGGAGCCACCCUGAGAGCCCCCCAAAGAAGAAAUGCACCACAAUCAACCUCACACAGAAAUCUGAAACCAAAGACCCUCCCGCCACUCCCAUGCAAAAACUCAUCUCCCUGGUGAGAGAAUGGGACAUGGUCAGUUGCAAACAGUGGGAAUUCCAGCCACUGACAGCCUCCCGGAGCAGCCCUUUGGAGGAGGCCACCCUGCAGCUCCCCUUGGGAAGCGAGGCUGCUUCCCAGCCUAGCACCUCAGCUGCCUGGAAAGCCCAUUCCACAGCCUCAGAGAAGGAUCCAGGACCACAGGCAGGGGCUGGAGCUGGAGUGAAAGACAAGGGGCCAGAGCCAACCUUCAAGCCAUACUUCCCCCCAAAAAGAGCCAGCACCCUGAAGGACUGGAGCAAGCAGAGGACCAAGGAGAGAGAAAGCCCUGCCCCUGAGCAGCCUCUGCCCGAGGCCAGUGAGGUGGACAGCCUAGGGGUUAUCCUCAAAGUGACUCACCCCCCCGUGGUGGGCAGCGAUGGCUUCUGCAUGUUCUUUGAGGACAGCAUCAUCUACACCACGCAGAUGGACAACCUCAGGCACACACCACCCACAGCCAGUCCCCAGCCCCAAGAAGUGACUUUCCUGAGUUUCUCUCUGUCCUGGGAAGAGAUGUUUUAUGCGCAGAAAUGUCACGGCUUCCUGGCUGACAUCAUCCUGGAUUCCAUCAGGCAAAAGGACCCCAAAGCCAUCACAGCCAAGGUGGUCUCCCUGGCCAAUCGGCUGUGGACCCUGCACAUCAGCCCCAAGCAGUUUGUGGUAGAUUUGCUGGCCAUCACUGGCUUCAAGGACGACCGGCACACCCAGGAGUGCCUGUACAGCUGGGUGGAGCUUACACUGCCCUUCGCCAAGAAAUAUGGCCACUGCAUGGACCUGCUCAUCCAGAGGGGCCUGUCUAGGUCUGUCUCGUACUUCAUCCUGGGAAAGUACCUACAAGAGGACUAGGGUGCCCAGAGAUGCAGCCCCUCGUGCCCCACCCGCCAAGUCUCAUUUUAAUUGAAGAUAGCCCCAGAAUGCAUGUGCCCAUCAGAGGGUACAUAUCAGUCUAUUUUUUAUUAUAAACAAAUAAAAGAUUAAAUC